rnacentral:rRNA from 1 species
ACCUUAAUUAUUUAUAUCAAAAGGACAUGUUUUUGAUAAACAGGUGAAUAUUUAAUUUUGCCGAAUUACUUAAAUUAAUUUUUAAAUUUUUAUUAAAUAUAAAUAUUUAUAUACUAAUUUUAUCAUUAUUAUUCUAUUUUUUUUAUUUUAAUAAAUAUUUUAAUAAAUAAUUAAUAUUUAUAAUAUAAAAUUAUAUCUAAACUAAAUUUAUUUUUAACAAAUUAAAUAAAAUUAAUAAUAUUAAUUAUAUUAAAUUUAAAUUAUUUAUUAUUUUAUUUAAUAAUUUAUUUUAAAGCUUAUCCCUUAAAAUAUUUAUAAUGUAUUUUAAAUUAUAAAUUAAAUUAUAAAUUAAUAAAUAAUUAUAUAAAUUAAAUUUAUUUCUUAAAAAACUAGAUAUAUUUAAAAACGUUUAACAUUUCAUUUCCAAUUAAUUAUUUUUAAUAAUUAUGCCACAUUAACUAAAUUAAUUAAUUAACUCUUUUAAAUUCGAGAAUAUUAUUUUAUUUAAUAUUUAUUUAAUAAACUCUGAUACCCAAGA